UUGGGGAAGUUCUCUCUUGCUAGAUUGGAUAAUAUCCUGAAGUGUGUUUUCCCACUGGGUUCCGUUCUCCCUGUCACUUUCAGGUACACCAAUCAAACGUAGGUUUGGUCUUUUCACAUAGUCUCAUAUUUCUUUGAGGCUUUGUUCAUUCCUUUUCAUUCUUUUUUCUCUGGGCUUGUCUUCACACUUUAUUUCAUUAAGUUGAUCUUCAAUCUCUGAUAUCCUUUUUUUCCACUUGAUUGCUUUGGCUAUUGAUGCUUGUGUAUGCUUCACAAAGUUCUCGUGCCGUGUUUUUUAGCUCCGUCAGGUCAUUCAUGUUCUUCUGUAAACUGGUUAUUCUAGUUAGCAAUUCCUCCAGCCUUUUAUCAAGGUUCUUACCUUCCUUGCAUUGGGUUUAUUGUUUAGUUCAAAUCUGUUGUUUCUUUGUUGGGCUUCUGUCUAGAUUAUCUAUUUGAUGCUGACAGCUACUCAGGAGGCUGAGGCAGGAGAAUCACUUGAAUCUGGGAGGCAGAGGUUGCAGUGAGCCAAGAUUGCACCACUGGAAUCCAGCCUGGGCGACAGAGCAAGGCUCUGUCUCAAAAAAAAAAAAAAAAAAAUCUCAAAGGCUACUAUAAACACCUCUCUGCAUACAAACUAGAAAACCUACAAGAAAUGGGUAAAUUCCUGGAAACACAUAGCCUCCCAAGAUUAAACCAGGAAGAAAUUGAAAUCCUGGACAGACAAAUAAAGAGUAAUAACAGACCAAUUGAAUCAGUAAUAAAACACCUAAAAACCGAUAACAGCCUUGGACCAUAUGGAUUUGAUUCUACCAAAUGCGCAAAG
rnacentral:lncRNA from 1 species